rnacentral:lncRNA from 1 species
CACUAUUCUUAAUGCCAUUGCUCAGGUAGAAUGUCUAUUGCACAAGUAGCAAAUGCAUCCCAUUGUCUGUGAAUAUAUUUGUGGUGGGCGACUGAGAUUCAAAGCCUAAUUUUGAUUAAAAAGGUCAACAUCACACUAGAUACUGAGCAUCACGUUUUGUUGCUCUUAAAGUUUUCUGGCAUGCAAUAGUAUGCAAUGAUAUAUACGUAAGAAUACGUAUAAUUAUUUUAUUCAGAACCAGUAAACUUCUGCUUUGUCCAUACGGCUGAGCCUCUGAAAAGAGGCUCCCAGAAAACAUGUAAUUACCGUUGAGUUGUUAAGCUGAAAGCUGUUCUACUUGGUUGUAGGUUUUACCAUGUCUUAACUAUCUUUAUACUUAUUAUACAAAUCCUGGGAAAAGCAGGGAAAGAAGUUGUGUGUUUUAAAUAUAUAGAUUUGUAUUCCAUUUUACUUGGUGUGAUAUUUGUGUUUCUGCCUCAAUGAGAUGCUUAGUGUGAGAGACAGGUGGAGAGUAAAUGGGAUAGAAGAGAUUUAGAAGCGUUUAAUGCAUAUCUACAGCUAUUUGCUUGGAAAAGAUGAUGACGUUACAUUGCAUGCUAAUUCUUUUUGCAAAGCCAAUAAAAGUGUAGUUUUUUCUUACUGAAACUGACUUAGGAGACUAAAAGUGUAGAGUGUUGUGAGUUUUGUUUUGUUGUGUUUGUUUGUUUGUCUGUUUUUAACUGAUAUCACAUAAAACCCCACGUUGUUGUGGCCUUAUUUUUCCUCCACACUUAAGUACAGGGAUAGCAAGCUUUAAGGGCAAGAGGUGAAGGAUUACUCAGGAGGGUGCUGGUACAGACACUUCCAUUUGGGAGUAUGAUUUGAUGAAGAAUGGAGUAAAGCAGAGGAAGAUGAGCAGUGAAACUGUCCUCCACUCAUCAGGAGAAGAGAGUUCAGUGGAUAUGAGCUGCCCACACUGGCUGGCGAUCUGCUGGGAAGGAACACUUCUCGGAGGUUUU